AAACCAAACUCUGUUCUUUCUACAGCUGUCAUCCUGACUCUUCCACCAAUAAUUAUUCCUGGAUAAAUGGCAGAAUUUUCCAGGACGCAAGGUUUGGCCUCCAGUAUCCACAGUGUGUAUGUGGAUAUCCAGAUGUGUGGGAGAGAAAGAGAGACAUAUUAACAAAAGGUUUUUCUCACCAAAGAACUGACCGGAAUAAUGUCCUGGUCAGUGUGCAUAGGAUAAAGUCUCUCACUUUAUGCACUGCAGUAAAUUACUGUGUUCAAUAAAUGAGCACUCAGCUUCUUCGCCCUCUGUGGCUCAGCAUAUUGUGACCGACUGGCAAAUAAAGGAGCAGCCCAUUCAGUGACCCGCCAUGGCUGAUCUUCAUCACACUGAUACUGACCUACUUAACUACCAUCUCUGACUGCAUGUUAAAGAAAUCCCUGCAUGACACCCUGAUAAAGGCUUAGUCAUUAAUCAGGAUGGACAAACAACCUUAAAACAACUCCUGGCCAAAUAAAAGAGAGAGAUUAGAAUAAAUCUGCUGUCAGUAGCAGCAGCUUUUCUGUGUGCUGUCUUUUGGAGCGUAGUUUAAUUUCCUCACAAAGGUGGUCAGAGCAUAAGCACACCCUUAUACAGAGACCAUCAAAGUUAAUGUCUCAACUCGAAUCAGACACAGAUUGAUGGCGUAGAGGCAAAAUGAGGCUCCUUCACCUUAUCUUUAACAAGAAGAGAAUGUGGGAAGCAGUGACCCGGAGCAAAGGUCUCAUCAGUGCCUGUCUCAGUUUGAGACCGCCUUGCCUGUCAAAGUCACAUUUUAA